GUAAGCAUAGUUUAACCAAAACAUUAGAUUGUGAAUCUAAAAACAGAAAUUAAUUCCUUCUUGCUUACC
rnacentral:tRNA from 1 species